rnacentral:lncRNA from 1 species
UAUGGAAAGUCACAAUAAGACACAAGAAUCUACAGGUCGAGCAAGUCUCGUAAAUUUCACGAUUGCGAGCCACGCUUCACGCAACCGUGUUUGCGUACUUGUGUUUCAAGUUGCGUGGUCGUACGGAGUUAUAUUUACCAAAUUUAAAUAUAAUCGUUUUCAAAAUUAAAUCAAUAUGUCAAUAUGGCUACUGGGUGUAAAAGAUAAAUCUUAUUCUAUCUGUUCUUAAUGAGUUUUAGAUAAUUUUAGUUGUAUUUCUUUGUAAUUUUGUGUUGUACAAAGAUUAAUUUAACAUUUUCUCUGGAAGUAUUCAUUUAGAAAGAUAAUAUGCUUCAUUGGUGUUGUGUUUUGAAGUGUGAAAUGUGAUAAAGUCAAGAUAAAGUUCACUUUUAAACUGAACUAAAUAAGGUAUCUGAGAGACAACAAUGGUUAAAUGCAAUACAAUGUACAGGUUUUACUAGCGAAAUGAAAAUUUUCCUGUCCUGUCUGCUGUAAUCAUUUUAUAUCUGGAAAACCAGCCGACUUAAUAGAUAAUAACAAUCUCCAGAUUGGGUUCCUUCAAUAAAUAUGGUCUAUAAACACAAUGAAAUAAGUUCCCCAAAAUCUAAAAUGGAGUGGUAUCAAAGGAGAAUUAAAGGGAAAAAUAUUCAUAUUGAAAUUAUUUAUAAGGCACUGGACUGUCUUAAAUUCUACAAUAAUACUAGAAUCAGCUGAAGAAGUGGUCUACAAAAAAACCAGGAAGGAAACGGAAUAUGUGGCUACGAAAGGCAAAAGAAAGGUUUACAAAGCAAAUGUGACACAUUUUUUUGAAAUAUUUAGGAAUAUCAGUAAAUUGCAUUAAAAAAAUGUAUGAAAAGAUUUUGUUCAAUAAAAAUGUUUAUAUUUAUCAAGGAUGUAUUAUUUGGUAUGGCCACAUAUCGUCAGUGAUGUAAUAAUACAUCCUAUCUGUUUUUUCAUGAGUUUUGUAAGAGAGACUAAAAACUUGUCUUAGGGUCACCUCCU